GACGAGUGGCGGACGGGUGAGUAAUGUCUGGGAAACUGCCUGAUGGAGGGGGAUAACUACUGGAAACGGUAGCUAAUACCGCAUAACGUCGCAAGACCAAAGAGGGGGACCUUCGGGCCUCUUGCCAUCGGAUGUGCCCAGAUGGGAUUAGCUAGUAGGUGGGGUAAAGGCUCACCUAGGCGACGAUCCCUAGCUGGUCUGAGAGGAUGACCAGCCACACUGGAACUGAGACACGGUCCAGACUCCUACGGGAGGCAGCAGUGGGGAAUAUUGCACAAUGGGCGCAAGCCUGAUGCAGCCAUGCCGCGUGUAUGAAGAAGGCCUUCGGGUUGUAAAGUACUUUCAGCGGGGAGGAAGGGAGUAAAGUUAAUACCUUUGCUCAUUGACGUUACCCGCAGAAGAAGCACCGGCUAACUCCGUGCCAGCAGCCGCGGUAAUACGGAGGGUGCAAGCGUUAAUCGGAAUUACUGGGCGUAAAGCGCACGCAGGCGGUUUGUUAAGUCAGAUGUGAAAUCCCCGGGCUCAACCUGGGAACUGCAUCUGAUACUGGCAAGCUUGAGUCUCGUAGAGGGGGGUAGAAUUCCAGGUGUAGCGGUGAAAUGCGUAGAGAUCUGGAGGAAUACCGGUGGCGAAGGCGG
rnacentral:rRNA from 1 species